rnacentral:lncRNA from 1 species
CAACAUUUGCUACUUCCUCAAAGUUGACAAGAUUGCACACUUGAUACUUCGAUGAAAAGUUAUUUUUGCUUCUUGGUCGGCUUAUUCCUAGUGUGCCUGAGUUCAGCCAUUGGUUUGGUAGUCUUCUUCCCCUUUGAUUGUGUUCUACUAGAGAGCUUGUGAUCCUUGCCCUGUUCAUAAUCAUCAUCACUGUCACUGGCAUCAUUAUAUAGUCGUCAUCUUCAUCCUCACUUUUCUCUAGUUUUCUUUUAGCAACCGUAUUUGUUCCUCUUGUUUUCUUCUUUUGAUCACCAUCUUUUUUUUUCCCUUGGAGC